rnacentral:sRNA from 1 species
GCCAGGCUUGGUGGUCCACGCCUGUAAUCCCAGUGACUCGGGAGGCUGAGGCAGGAGGAUUGCAAGUUUGAGGCCAGCCUCAGCAACUGUAGCAAGACCCUGUCUCAA